GAUGAACGCUAGCGGCAGGCCUAAUACAUGCAAGUCGAACGAUAUUAAGGGGCUUGCUCCUUAAGAAAGUGGCGCACGGGUGCGUAACGCGUAUGCAACCUACCUUAAUCAGGGGGAUAGCCCGAAGAAAUUCGGAUUAACACCGCAUAAAAACACAGGAUAGCAUUAUCCAAUGUUCAAAUAUUUAUAGGAUCAAGAUGGGCAUGCGUGUCAUUAGCUAGUUGGCGGGGUAACGGCCCACCAAGGCGACGAUGACUAGGGGAUCUGAGAGGAUGACCCCCCACACUGGUACUGAGACACGGACCAGACUCCUACGGGAGGCAGCAGUAAGGAAUAUUGGUCAAUGGAGGCAACUCUGAACCAGCCAUGCCGCGUGCAGGAAGGCUGCCCUAUGGGUUGUAAACUGCUUUUAUCCGGGAAUAAACCUUUCUACGUGUAGGAAGCUGAAUGUACCGGAAGAAUAAGGAUCGGCUAACUCCGUGCCAGCCGCCGCAGUAACAC
rnacentral:rRNA from 1 species